rnacentral:rRNA from 1 species
UACGGAGGGUGCAAGCGUUAUCCGGAUUCACUGGGUUUAAAGGGUGCGUAGGUGGGCUGGUAAGUCAGUGGUGAAAUCCCCAAGCUUAACUUGGGAACUGCCAUUGAUACUAUCAGUCUUGAAUACCGUGGAGGUUAGCGGAAUAUGUCAUGUAGCGGUGAAAUGCUUAGAUAUGACAUAGAACACCAAUUGCGAAGGCAGCUGGCUACACGAAUAUUGACACUGAGGCACGAAAGCGUGGGGAUCAAACAGG